rnacentral:rRNA from 1 species
GAUGAACGCUAGCGGCAGGCUUAAUACAUGCAAGUCGAGGGGCAGCACGGGUAGCAAUAUCUGGUGGCGACCGGCGCACGGGUGCGUAACACGUAUACAACCUACCUAUAACAGGGGGAUAGCCUUUCGAAAGAGAGAUUAAUACCCCGUAAUAAGUUGAAUGGCAUCAUUUGACUUUGAAAGUUCCGACGGUUAUAGAUGGGUAUGCGUUUGAUUAGCUAGUUGGUGGUGUAAUGGACCACCAAGGCGACGAUCAAUAGGGGAUCUGAGAGGACUAACCCCCACACUGGUACUGAGACACGGCCCAGACUCCUACGGGAGGCAGCAGUGGGGAAUUUUGGACAAUGGGCGCAAGCCUGAUCCAGCCAUGCCGCGUGCAGGAUGAAGGCCUUCGGGUUGUAAACUGCUUUUGUACGGAACGAAAAGACUCUGGUUAAUACCUGGGGUCCAUGACGGUACCGUAAGAAUAAGCACCGGCUAACUACGUGCCAGCCGCCGCGGUAACAC